AAGCUCACUCUGUCUGCCUCUGUUACCUUGUUCGGCAGCCUUCAAUCCUCAGGUUUCCGGUGAAUAACACUAGAGUCCUCUCUCUUUCUUCGGUUUGUCCCAUUGGAGAAGUCAACAACAGUUCGUCAGUUCCAUAAAGAUUGGAUCUUUGGAGUCACUUUGCUCAGGGUCACCAGCAUUGCCCUCCAGAGCACAACAACUGGCUUCAGAUUCAAUUUGGUUUUCGGGUGACAUCCUAGAGGUUUUUUUUUUUUUUUCCUUCUCGGUCUCGCCCUCGCCCUCUGAUCUCUGAUCUCUGCUCUCUGCUUCAUCAGAUUCUCCGUUCAUGUUCUUGUCUUCAUCUCAGGUUCUCCAUUCCGUGACUUCACUGGGAGUUCUACGCAAACUUCCAUAACCAAUAAGAGCUCUCUGUCGAGACCAUUGUUAAAGGUGUCUCGAUUCCUCUUGCUCCUGCAUUUCUUGGUAAGAUCAUUUGUCUUCCACUUCUCAACGAUGUCUCUAGUAGAAAGUUGUAUUAGACUAGAGAUGAAAAGGAAUAGGAAAAGACUAAAAAGGACUCCUGAGAUGGUGAAGUCCAUCUGUCCAUGACAUGCGUGAAGUAGUACUUCUUCUUUUUUGCUGAAUGUGUGAAGUAGUACUUUACUAGAACUAAUGGCUUUUUAUAGCAUCAUUCUGUAAGUCUUUUAUUUAUGUUGUAGUAUUUUAGUAAAAAUAUUACAACUUAUUUAGCAUUUAGCAUGCUUAAUUUUCUUAUAUAUAUCUUGUUGCGGGCCAAACAAUAUUUCUUUUAGAUUUGUUCAUGGUUCAUUGAAUCUAGUGGCUUACCACUUGUCACAAAUUGGAUGUUUCUAUCAAUUUCUUGACAAGAGAGGUGAUUAGAAUAUAAAAGUUUGGGUGUUUAGAAAAGGUUUGAAGAGUGUAGCUAUCUGCAAAAUCAAAGUUCUGAAGGACCUCACAAGUUAUGUGGAAGUCUCUUAGAAUUUUGAUCUUGCAGGGAGCUAUACUCUUCAAAUCUUUCCUAAACACCCAGACUUUUACAUUUUGAUCACCUCUCUUGUCAAGAAAUUGGUAGAAACAUCCAAUUUGUGACAAGUGAUGAGCCACCAGAUUCAAUGAACCAUGGACAGAUUGAGAAGAAAUCUUGUUUGGUCUUACAACUGUUGCUUUAACGUCACUCAAAAAGCUCCAACUUAGAUUUGCAGAUACAU